rnacentral:rRNA from 1 species
GUUAGUUGCCAUCAUUCGAGUUGGGCACUCUAGCGAGACGUGCCGGUAAUAAACCGGAGGAAGUGGGAUGACGUCAAAUCAUCAUGCCCCUUAUGACCUGGGCUACACACGUGCUACAAUGGUUGGUACAACGAGUUGCGAGUCGGUGACGGCGAGCUAAUCUCUUAAAGCCAAUCUCAGUUCGGAUUGUAGGCUGCAACUCGCCUACAUGAAGUCGGAAUCGCUAGUAAUCGCGGAUCAGCAUGCCGCGGUGAAUACGUUCCCGGGCCUU